rnacentral:rRNA from 1 species
AUACGAAGGUCCCGAGCGUUAUUCGGAAUCACGGGGCGUAAAGAGUAUGUAGGCGGUUUGGUAAGUCAGGUGUGAAAUCCCGGAGCUCAACCUCGGAACUGCAUCCGAUACUGCCAGACUAGAGUAAUGGAGAGGCAGGUGGAAUUCUCGGUGUAGCAGUGAAAUGCGUGGAUAUCGAGAGGAAGACCAAUGGCGAAGGCAGCCUGCUGGACAUUUACUGACGCUGAGAUACGAAGGCUAGCGGAGCGAAAGGGAUUAGAAACCCUAGUAGUCC